rnacentral:rRNA from 1 species
GACGAACGCUGGCGGCGUGCUUAACACAUGCAAGUCGUACGGUAAGGCCCUUUCGGGGGUACACGAGUGGCGAACGGGUGAGUAACACGUGCGUAACCUGCCCACAACUUUGGGAUAACGCUAGGAAACUGGUGCUAAUACUGGAUAUGUGCUCCUGCUGCAUGGUGGGGGUUGGAAAGCUCCGGCGGUUGUGGAUGGACUCGCGGCCUAUCAGCUUGUUGGUGGGGUAGUGGCCUACCCAGGCGGCGACGGGUAGCCGGCCUGAGAGGGUGCCCGGCCCAAUGGGAACGAGAAUAGGCCCAGACUCCUACGGGAGGCAGCAGUGGGGAAUAUUGCACAAUGGGCGCAAGCCUGAUGCAGCAACGCCGCGUGCGGGAUGACGGCCUUCGGGUUGUAAACCGCUUUCAGCAGGGACGAAGCUUUUUGUGACGGUACCUGCAGAAGAAGCACCGGCUAACUACGUG